rnacentral:rRNA from 1 species
CCUACGGGGGGCAGCAGUGGGGAAUAUUGCACAAUGGGGGAAACCCUGAUGCAGCAACGCCGCGUGAGUGAUGACGGCCUUCGGGUUGUAAAGCUCUGUCUUCAGGGACGAUAAUGACGGUACCUGAGGAGGAAGCCACGGCUAACUACGUGCCAGCAGCCGCGGUAAUACGUAGGUGGCGAGCGUUGUCCGGAUUUACUGGGCGUAAAGGGAGCGUAGGCGGACUUUUAAGUGAGAUGUGAAAUACCCGGGCUCAACUUGGGUGCUGCAUUUCAAACUGGAAGUCUAGAGUGCAGGAGAGGAGAAUGGAAUUCCUAGUGUAGCGGUGAAAUGCGUAGAGAUUAGGAAGAACACCAGUGGCGAAGGCGAUUCUCUGGACUGUAACUGACGCUGAGGCUCGAAAGCGUGGGGAGCAAACAGGAUUAGAUACCCCCGUAGUC